rnacentral:tRNA from 1 species
CAUAGCCCAGUGGUUAGGGCACUCACCAGGAAUGUGGGAGACCUGGGUUAGAGUCCCUGUG